AUGUUGCUGGGUGGUUUACAGACAGGAACAAGGCAGGUACUUAAACUUUGCAUUUAUACCUUUCAUUACAAAAAAAAUAAUAAUGAGGGACAGCUGCAUUUCGUUAUACAUAGGCCAUCUUGUUAUCUUAAUUCCUUACUUGUUUUUGACUCUUGCCAACAUACAAUAUUUUCUAGACCUUAUCUACACAAGGUUUUCUACGCCUUAUCUAUACAAGGUCACAAUAACUUCUCACACAGUACUUUCUCACCCGCCUCACACAAUCCUCGCUUCUACAAAUCUCGCGUUAUCAGGGUUACAGUUAGCCUGACUCUUGCUAACAAACUGUCAUGCAUAGCAGUUCUUUUCUGACAGUUCUUUCUCUGCUUCCACGACCCCCCCCUUUUUUAUUUUAUAGAUGCGGUGUUUAAACAAAACACUCUCGCAGGGUAGCAUACACAAUGCCACUAGAUUGGGUAUACAUUAAACAAAGCAGCAAAGUAAAACAUCAAACAUCAAAACUAAGACCCCAUACUAUAAAAGGGUCUUCAUCCACUCUAAGGGUGGCUAUAACUAAAUAUAAUCCCACCAAGGAGGAAAAACGUCUUGGCGGAUGGCUUAAGCAUAACAUUUUAGCAUAUCAAUUUGCUAUUACAUACGGUUACUAUUAUCAGUAAGCUUAAAACAACACAUUUCUUUUACUGUCUCACACCCCAGAUGUUGCUGGGUGGUUUGCAGACAGGAACAAGGCAGGUACUUAACAGACCUUGCAUGUCUUGUAAUAUGGUGUCAUUAACUUGAAAAAGUAAGCGUCCUGUCAGGUGUAAUCCCAGGAGCACUGACUAAAAUUAACUGGGCAUACCAGGUAGUUUAAUUUCCCAGAUGUUUUGGUGAAUUACUCAAUCCCACAUGCAUCCUCCCCAUGGACCCGGCAGGAUUCAGUAUGUGGGAGGCCACACCCCCUUUACCGGUCCAUAUGCUUGGAAGGAGCAUUGAGAACAUCUACACUUCCACUCAGAAAGUCUCCAAGUAUGUCUCUAUGGCCACAGAUCAGAUGGUACUCCUGAUGAGUCUGUAAGGGCAGUGGGCCAAGCCUGAUGCUCUAGAUCCCACUGCAAUGCCUUCCCAGCCUCAGUGAUAUUCAAUACCAUCUCUGUCAGCAACUUCUGGGUCAUUGUCUGUAUUUUGAUGUGUUACUGGGGUAAUAGUGUAAUAGAGGAGAUGGCAGAGGCAAUGGCAACAAGGUGCCUUUGGUACUUAUCAUUUAAAAUCCAAUUAGGGAAGGCAAUACAUACUGAAGGACUUAUCCAAAACACAGGGCGCAGCCUGUAGAAUAAACCCCAAAAUCCAAUUAAUACCA
rnacentral:lncRNA from 1 species